rnacentral:sRNA from 1 species
AAUUUUAUUCCUUGCUAUGGGCAAUAGAAUGCAUGAUCUCUAUUAGCGAUACUUCUGGCGCUUUUGCUUCCGACUGUUCAGACCUGAUUUCUAUCAUUAACAAUCAAGAAGAUUGGCCGACAUUCGCAGCGGAAUUGACAUCCUAUCGCUCCUUAGUUUAUUUUUCUCCUUCUUUUCGUAUUAGAUUUCUUCCUCGUAGUUCUAAUACUCGAGCAGAUUGUUUAGCUAAGAAAACUCGGGCUCGUAAUAGCCUUUUCUCCCAUGUAAGCACAUCGGUUCCUGAAUGAUUCUUUCUAGCGGAGAGUCUCUUUCCGAUAACUUAAUAUAAAUGGUGUUUGAUGAAAAAAACAAAUUAUCGUAAUGAUCCUAAAAAGGAGU